rnacentral:tRNA from 1 species
GCCCCUGUAGCUCAGCGGGAGAGCGCCUCGCUUACAACGAGGAUGGCGGGAGUUCAAUUCUCUCCAGGGGUAC